GAUAGAAAAACCGUGCGGCCGCACGUACGAGCGACGAGUCAGCAGCAGAUCGGUCUCCGCCGCCAACCAGACCUUCGCAUGCCCGAUCCAGCCCUACGCCCCCUCCGCGGCCGAUCCAUCCCUGUGCCGCGGCCGAUCCAUGCCCUAUGCCGCCACCGAUGCCUCCUCCUCCACCUUCAUUCCCAAGCGAGGGCGCCCGCGGCCGCGGUCUUCUCCCCCAGCCACCAUGGCUGCAGAUCCACUCACGGCCGGUCGUCUAAGCUGCAAGCAUGGAUGGAUGGAUCUAGGAAGGUAUCCUUCCUCCCUGGGUGGAGCGAGCUGCACAUCCCAUUCGGCCCUCUGUAGUCGGCCAUCUCCGCCUCCUCCUCGCCGUCGCCGCCGCCGGGGAUCGCGUCUUCACCAAGCACGAGCUCCGCCCCAUCCGACCGACCGCAAAGGGAUUGUCCAUUGUAAAUUUUCAAGGAGAUUCAAAUGUUCCUCUUCUGGAUGAUUGAAGGGAUACUUGAAGCUAGGGCAAUCCAAGUAAGAUAGCUUCAUCCUCAGGCAACAGGUUUAUGUUAUCUUAUCAUGGAGUCAUUUUUAAGUUUGUGCCCAACGCCUUCAUCCUUAGAAUGGCUGCCCAGAUGGCAAGCCACCGUACUCAGGCGACUGCCGCGCUAGCAGGGUGCUCCAACUUUUGAUGCUGGCGAAGCUUUUGGAAUGAUGGCUACAUAAUUUGUUAGUCUCCGUUGGAAGCUUAAUUAAACUGAGCUUCUCUGAAGGUUCAGAUGUGUGGCAAAGGAUUUCAAUUUUCCUGUUUACACAAAGGAAACUUGAGGAAGGUUCAGAUUUCUCAUGCUCGGUGCUGUGCUCUCAAGGUUACAUAGACAAAAAUGCCUCCUAUUUACACAACGGCAACCCGACGAAGGUUCAGAUUUCUCAUGACUGGUUCAAUGGGAUGACGGGGCGGGUCGGGAGGCGGGGAAAGCCGUCCAUGGCGAUCCUGGUGGCGUUGCUAAUGGCGUCAGUGGCACUGCCGCUCCUCAUGGUGCCCGACAUGCUCUCUAUGCCAGGCUCCAACGGCGUGGAUCGCGGCGCCGCCCUGUCGCUCCCACGCCCGUGCUUCAGCAGAUCCGUGUUUGAGUCGUGCAUACCUUUAGCCGCCUCCCCUCCAAUGUCCACGACUCUGAUAUACCGUGUUUGUUAGUCUUGACUGGUGUUUGUUCUCCGUAUUGUUGUGCAGGAGGCUGGAGAACAGCAGGGAGAAAAGGGAGUCGUGGAUGGAGGUUCUGUACUUCUGUUGUAUCAACAUCUUCUCCAUGAGUCUUUUGCCCCCACUCUGUUUUUGGUUUGGGCCGAAACGUCAUCGUCUUGAUUCUUUACGUGGUUCAUUGGCUCAGACUUGUCCUACAUGGCCGAGCAAGAUCGAGGCUAGCCGCCGGUAAUGUUCUUCUCCCGUGCAAGUUCCGCACUGCAUUGAAGCAUCCAACACAUGAUGUAGCUACGUUACAGGUGGGACAUCAGCCAAGUAUGUUUCGAGGUGAGACAUCCAUCAAGUUUGUUUGGAGAAAUUGUGCAGUCCAGCUCCUGCGUGCUGGUCACCGAGCUCCACUGUGUCCAGCUCAUCCGACCAUGUGCUCCACUGCAUCUAGGUCAGCCGAUCUUGUGGCAGAGCUACACUGACGCAAGAGCAAAUAAUUUUACAAUUUCUUUGUUGUUCCUUUGUACUGGAUAACUGUGCAUUUUUAGAGGUGUGAAGAUGUAAUGCAAUAACAGUAACUGGGCGUAGGCACAUCCGUCUCGAUAAGCAUUAUGGGAACGGACAAAGGCAAGGCAUUCCAAUGUAAGAAAUGGAUGAAGGCAAGGUAUGUCAUUCUAAAAAAAGGCAAGGCAUACCAGGAUGCUGCAUUGCUUAA